GACGAACGCUGGCGGCGUGCUUAACACAUGCAAGUCGAACGGAAAGGCCCUGCUUUUGUGGGGUGCUCGAGUGGCGAACGGGUGAGUAACACGUGAGUAACCUGCCCUUGACUUUGGGAUAACUUCAGGAAACUGGGGCUAAUACCGGAUAGGAGCUCCUGCUGCAUGGUGGGGGUUGGAAAGUUUCGGCGGUUGGGGAUGGACUCGCGGCUUAUCAGCUUGUUGGUGGGGUAGUGGCUUACCAAGGCUUUGACGGGUAGCCGGCCUGAGAGGGUGACCGGCCACAUUGGGACUGAGAUACGGCCCAGACUCCUACGGGAGGCAGCAGUGGGGAAUAUUGCACAAUGGGCGGAGGCCUGAUGCAGCAACGCCGCGUGCGGGAUGACGGCCUUCGGGUUGUAAACCGCUUUCACCUGUGACGAAGCGUGAGUGACGGUAAUGGGUAAAGAAGCACCGGCUAGCUACGUGCCAGCAGCCGCGGUGAUACGUAGGGUGCGAGCGUUGUCCGGAUUUAUUGGGCGUAAAGGGCUCGUAGGUGGUUGAUCGCGUCGGAAGUGUAAUCUUGGGGCUUAACCCUGAGCGUGCUUUCGAUACGGGUUGACUUGAGGAAGGUAGGGGAGAAUGGAAUUCCUGGUGGAGCGGUGGAAUGCGCAGAUAUCAGGAGGAACACCAGUGGCGAAGGCGGUUCUCUGGGCCUUUCCUGACGCUGAGGAGCGAAAGCGUGGGGAGCGAACAGGCUUAGAUACCCUGGUAGUCCACGCUGUAAACGGUGGGUACUAGGUGUGGGGUCCAUUCCACGGGUUCCGUGCCGUAGCUAACGCUUUAAGUACCCCGCCUGGGGAGUACGGCCGCAAGGCUAAAACUCAAAGGAAUUGACGGGGCCCCGCACGAGCGGCGGAGCAUGCGGAUUAAUUCGAUGCAACGCGUAGAACCUUACCUGGGUUUGACAUGGAUCGGGAGUGCUCAGAGAUGGGUGUGCCUCUUUUGGGGUCGGUUCACAGGUGGUGCAUGGCUGUCGUCAGCUCGUGUCGUGAGAUGUUGGGUUAAGUCCCGCAACGAGCGCAACCCUUGUUCACUGUUGCCAGCACGUUAUGGUGGGGACUCAGUGGAGACCGCCGGGGUCAACUCGGAGGAAGGUGGGGAUGACGUCAAGUCAUCAUGCCCCUUAUGUCCAGGGCUUCACGCAUGCUACAAUGGCUGGUACAGAGAGUGGCGAGCCUGUGAGGGUGAGCGAAUCUCGGAAAGCCGGUCUCAGUUCGGAUUGGGGUCUGCAACUCGACCUCAUGAAGUCGGAGUCGCUAGUAAUCGCAGAUCAGCAACGCUGCGGUGAAUACGUUCCCGGG
rnacentral:rRNA from 1 species